AUUGAACGCUGGCGGCAUGCUUUACACAUGCAAGUCGAACGGCAGCGCGGGGGCAACCCUGGCGGCGAGUGGCGAACGGGUGAGUAAUAUAUCGGAACGUACCCAGAAGUGGGGAUAACGUAGCGAAAGUUACGCUAAUACCGCAUACGAUCUACGGAUGAAAGUGGGGGACCUUCGGGCCUCAUGCUUUUGGAGCGGCCGAUAUCUGAUUAGCUAGUUGGUGAGGUAAAGGCUCACCAAGGCGACGAUCAGUAGCUGGUCUGAGAGGACGACCAGCCACACUGGAACUGAGACACGGUCCAGACUCCUACGGAGGCAGCAGUGGGGAAUUUGGACAAUGGGGGCAACCCUGAUCCAGCAAU
rnacentral:rRNA from 1 species